UACGGAGGGUGCAAGCGUUGUUCGGAAUUAUUGGGCGUAAAGCGCGUGUAGGCGGUUCGCUAAGUCUGGUGUGAAAGCCCGGGGCUUAACUCCGGAAGUGCACUGGAUACUGGCGAACUAGAGGACGAGAGAGGAGAGUGGAAUUCCUGGUGUAGGGGUGAAAUCCGUAGAUAUCAGGAGGAACACCGAUGGCGAAGGCAGGUCUCUGGGCCACUACUGACGCUGAGAAGCGAAAGCAUGGGGAGCGAACAGG
rnacentral:rRNA from 1 species